UGAAAAUUGCAAACUUCGCAAGGCUAUAUUAUCCGCAUUUUACAACAUUUCGCAACGAAACUUUGGAAUAUUACUAAUUUUGUGAUGCUCGUUCAAGCUGUGAUGAAAUUCUUGUCUAGACUUGUUGAGAUCAAAAUUUUGUCUAUUACGCAAAUCAAAUGGUCAAUUGUACCACUAAAUUCGUAGUACUAUUUUCCCGUCAGUCUUAAAUUUACGCGAUUAAUUCCGCGCAUCCUAUAUUAAUGCGGGGAUUAUUUUUGUAGUUUUAAUUUCGCGCGUCUUGAAGCGGAACAAAACUAAAUAAGGGACGGACCAUUAGAUUUUGGGGGGGGGGGGGGGCAAUUCUUCUGUGCACGAAUUUUUUUUCAUCCCCCAAUUGCUUGCAAGAAUUUUUUUUUCGGCAACAUUCCUUUGCACGAUAUCUUUUUUUAGACGACCUAAAAAAAUUUUCCCCGAAAGUUCGCCGAAAAGUUCGUCGACGGCGGGGAGGGGGAGGGGGCAUAAUUUUUUUAGAUUGUCGUAAAAACACCAUUUUAAUGUUUUAGAAUAAUUGCAUUACGAUUUUAAAAAUCAGCCCUAGUUCUUGCUCGAUUUUUUUCCCAAUAGGUUUGUUGUGCACGAUAUUUUUUUCUGGAUUUUUUCUGUGCGCGAAUUAUUUUUUGGUAUUUGCCCCCCCCCCCCUCAAAUAUUUAAUGGUCCGUCCCUAAUCACACUUCUAUUAAAUCAUGGUUUUCCCCUGUUCAAAUGACAUUGGACACUUUUUACGAAAGUGGUGAUUCACCAAUUUUUACGAAAGUGGCGAAUAGUCUUAUUAAUAGAGUUUUCGGGCCACCAGAACUCGAAAAAUCCCAACGGAAAAAAUAGCAGGCCAAUUUCUUUAUGUAACUGCGAUAACAAAUAAAAUCAAUGGCAAACACAUAUUAAUACAUAUUGUCAUAUUGAAUUGAUAUUGUGUGUCACGGCUGGUGACAAAGUUUACACACGGAUUAUUUUUCGCACAUAUUACAACAUGCAGCAAAUCUUUUUUCACUCUCAAUGAGUUUUCAAUUCAUUAUCAUAAAUCGAGGUGCUUUUUCCGGUGGCGUUUUCUCCGCAAAUAUUUAUUUAUUACCUCGGGUCGGUACGACACCGAGGUCAUAAAUUCGGCUCCUAUUUUUUUUUUUAUUUUUUUUUUUAUUGUUUUUCAUUUGUGUCGAGCCGCGCACGUAGUCGAAGGAGCCUGAGGAGGAGAUGACAACUUCCGGUAAAUAAGUGUACUUCCGGAUUAUUUCAAGCAUCGGCCAAAGCGAAACGGAACCCGAAGCUGUCCUUGCACAAAAUCCGUCAGAAUUGUUGAUUUAAAACCAGAAGAUGUGAUAAUUUUGACAUACAUGUUUAACUGGACAACUAUUCUCGAG